rnacentral:rRNA from 1 species
AUUGAACGCUGGCGGCAUGCCUUACACAUGCAAGUCGAACGGCAGCACGGGGGCAACCCUGGUGGCGAGUGGCGAACGGGUGAGUAAUACAUCGGAACGUGCCCAGUAGUGGGGGAUAGCCCGGCGAAAGCCGGAUUAAUACCGCAUACGACCUACGGGUGAAAGCGGGGGAUCGCAAGACCUCGUGCUACCGGAGCGGCCGAUGUCAGAUUAGGUUGUUGGUGGGGUAAAAGCCUACCAAGCCGACGAUCUGUAGCUGGUCUGAGAGGACGACCAGCCACACUGGGACUGAGACACGGCCCAGACUCCUACGGGAGGCAGCAGUGGGGAAUUUUGGACAAUGGGCGCAAGCCUGAUCCAGCCAUGCCGCGUGCGGGAAGAAGGCCUGG